UACGUAGGGUGCAAGCGUUGUCCGGAAUUAUUGGGCGUAAAGAGCUCGUAGGCGGUCUGUCGCGUCUGCUGUGAAAACUCAGGGCUUAACCCUGAGCUUGCAGUGGGUACGGGCAGACUAGAGUGCGGUAGGUGAGACUGGAAUUCCUGGUGUAGCGGUGAAAUGCGCAGAUAUCAGGAGGAACACCGGUGGCGAAGGCGGGUCUCUGGGCAGUAACUGACGCUGAGGAGCGAAAGCGUGGGGAGCGAACAGG
rnacentral:rRNA from 1 species